UACGAAGGGUGCAAGCGUUACUCGGAAUUACUGGGCGUAAAGCGUGCGUAGGUGGUUUUUUAAGUCCGUUGUGAAAGCCCCGGGCUUAACCUGGGAAUGGCAUUGGAAACUGGCUCGCUGGAGUGUGGCAGAGGGGGGUGGAAUUCCGCGUGUAGCAGUGAAAUGCGUAGAGAUGCGGAGGAACACCGAUGGCGAAGGCAGCCCCCUGGGCUAACACUGACGCUCAGGCACGAAAGCGUGGGGAGCAAACAGG
rnacentral:rRNA from 1 species